GACGAGCGCUGGCGGCGUGCUUAACACAUGCAAGUCGAACGGAAAGGCCCUGCUUUUGUGGGGUGCUCGAGUGGCGAACGGGUGAGUAACACGUGAGUAACCUGCCCUUGACUUUGGGAUAACUUCAGGAAACUGGGGCUAAUACCGGAUAGGAGCUCCUGCUGCAUGGUGGGGGUUGGAAAGUUUCGGCGGUUGGGGAUGGACUCGCGGCUUAUCAGCUUGUUGGUGGGGUAGUGGCUUACCAAGGCUUUGACGGGUAGCCGGCCUGAGAGGGUGACCGGCCACAGUGGGACUGAGAUACGGCCCAGACUCCUACGGGAGGCAGCAGUGGGGAAUAUUGCACAAUGGGCGGAAGCCUGAUGCAGCAACGCCGCGUGCGGGAUGACGGCCUUCGGUUUGUAAACCGCUUUCGCCUGUGACGAAGCGUGAGUGACGGUAAUGGGUAAAGAAGCACCGGCUAACUACGUG
rnacentral:rRNA from 1 species